rnacentral:lncRNA from 1 species
UGCCAAGGUUAAUUUUACUAAGACCUCAUUUUCAUAAAACAAUGAUAAUAUUAAACAGCAAGAAUGAGGAUCAAGUCGAAGUUAUAUACAAAUGAGGCAAAAUUUUCAGUUGCCUACUUUUUAUGUAUUAGUAGUUAUUUUUGUCAUUAAAUGAUAUUGUUUACCCUUUUAUGUGUAGGGCAAGAAUAUUAAAGAUAAAGGGAAACUAUAAACAG